rnacentral:rRNA from 1 species
GUGUCAGCAGCCGCGGUAAUACCAGCUCUCCGAGUGGUGUGGACGUUUAUUGGGCCUAAAGCAUCCGUAGCUGGCUGGACAAGUCCCCUGUUAAACCCACCGAUUUAAUCGUUGGUCUGCGGGGGAUACUGCUCGGCUAGGGGACGAGAGAGGCAGACGGUAUUCCCGGGGUAGGGGUGAAAUCCUAUAAUCCCGAGAAGACCACCAGUGGCGAAGGCUGUCUGCUAGAACGCGCCCGACGGUGAGGGAUGAAAGCUGGGGGAGCGAACCGGAUUAGAUACCCGGGUAGUCCCAGCCGUAAACGAUGCAGACUAGGUGUUUGGACGGCCACGUGCCGUUCUAGUGCCGCAGGGAAGCUGUUAAGUCUGCCGCCUGGGGAGUACGAUCGCAAGGUUGAAACUCAAAUGAAUUGACGGGG